GACGAACGCUGGCGGCGUGCUUAACACAUGCAAGUCGAACGGAAAGGCCUCAGCUUGCUGGGGUACUCGAGUGGCGAACGGGUGAGUAACACGUGGGUGAUCUGCCUUGCACUCUGGGAUAAGCUUGGGAAACUGGGUCUAAUACCGGAUAUGAACUGCCUUUAGUGUGGUGGUUGGAAAGUUUUUUCGGUGCAAGAUGAGCUCGCGGCCUAUCAGCUUGUUGGUGGGGUAAUGGCCUACCAAGGCGUCGACGGGUAGCCGGCCUGAGAGGGUGUACGGCCACAUUGGGACUGAGAUACGGCCCAGACUCCUACGGGAGGCAGCAGUGGGGAACAUUGCACAAUGGGCGGAAGCCUGAUGCAGCGACGCCGCGUGGGGGAUGACGGCCUUCGGGUUGUAAACUCCUUUCGACAGGGACGAAGCUUUUUGUGACGGUACCUGUAUAAGAAGCACCGGCUAACUACGUG
rnacentral:rRNA from 1 species